AAUCAACGCUGGCGGCGCGCCUAACACAUGCAAGUCGAACGAGAAAGUCCGCAAGGAUGAGUAAAGUGGCGUACGGGUGAGUAACACGUGGAUAACCUGCCCUUCAGUGGGGAAGUACCGCUGGGAACCGGACGACAAUACCGCAUAAGCUCGAGAGAGGAAAGCAGCAAUGCGCUGAAGGAGGGUCCGCGGCCGAUUAGCUAGUUGGCAGGGU
rnacentral:rRNA from 1 species